rnacentral:rRNA from 1 species
UACGUAGGGUGCAAGCGUUUAAUCGGAAUUACUGGGCGUAAAGGGCUGGUAGGCGGCCAACUAAGUCGGAUGUGAAAUCCCCAGGCUUAACCUGGGAACUGCGUGUGAUACUGGGAGUCUUGGGCCAUUCAGGGGCAACUGGAACAAGCGGUGGAGCGGUGAAAUGCGUAGAUAUCGCUUGGAACGCCGAAGGUGAAAACAGGUUGCUGGGGAUGUGCCGACGCUGAGACACGAAAGCCAGGGGAGCAAACGGG